UCAUAGAAAAUUGUUAUUUUUACAGAAAAAAACAAUGCAUUACACAAGUAUGAAACCCAAAUGCUUAACAGAACUAAGCAGCACUGCACUCCAGACCUGCUGGGUAGAGACCCCGGUGACCCAGCGAUUAGUGCUGGUCCCUCUCUAGUCGCAGGAGCAGAAUCAAGCUCCCUUCACAUGAGGACUCUGACAAUUUCUGAAGAGUCACAGCCCAUACUUGAGCUUUCUCUGUCCUCAGUGUCAUUGCUGUUUGCUGUCAUCAUCUUGCCUUCAAUCCUUGCCUAGACCUCCAGAGAAAUGUUGAACAUGAGCCCAGCAACAGAGCGUCUUCUCUCCUUCCUAAUUCUUGGGGUAAGGAUACCAAGUUCCUUUGUAAGUAGGAGGCUUCUUCCAGGUGCUGUGUAAGUUUCCAUCCAAUUAAAUUGAGCACUUUUCCUAAUAUUUGAAAUUGUGAACACCUGCUGGCUUUCCAAAGAAUGUGUUCUUCCUCUGCUCAGGUGAACACAUUUAUCCUUUUUUCUGUAAAUGCAGUAAACUACACUGAUGAUCUAAA